rnacentral:rRNA from 1 species
AACGAACGCUGGCGGCAGGCCUAACACAUGCAAGUCGAGCGCCCCGCAAGGGGAGCGGCGGACGGGUGAGUAACACGUGGGAAUUUUCCUCAAGGUACGGAACAACUCAGGGAAACUUGGGCUAAUACCGUAUGAUGCAGAGAUGCCAAAGAUUUAUCGCCUUGGGAUAAGCCCGCGUCAGAUUAGGUAGUUGGUGGGGUAACGGCCUACCAAGCCUGCGAUCUGUAGCUGGUCUGAGAGGACGAUCAGCCACACUGGGACUGAGACACGGCCCAGACUCCUACGGGAGGCAGCAGUGGGGAAUCUUGCGCAAUGGGCGAAAGCCUGACGCAGCCAUGCCGCGUGAAUGAUGAAGGUCUUAGGAUUGUAAAGUUCUUUCGCUCGUGACGAUGAUGACGGUAACGAGAGAAGAAGCCCCGGCUAACUUCGUGCCAGCCGCCGCCGUAA